UGCUGUCACACUGGGGAAGAGGACCUGGGGCUCAUGACCAGGGAGAAGGCCUCACCCUCAGCCACUAGGGAGGCGGCGUCGAGGCCACAAACCGCAGGGGCCACCUCACACCCGCUGAACUGCCAGACCCAGCAGUUGAGGGACCAGAGACGGGGAGCCGCGGAGCCGCUCAGCACCGCAGGGCACAGCCGGACAGUUGCUUAAAACUCUGGACCUCAUGGCCAUCCGCGGCAGUCACCCUCCCCGCCCUCCUCCAGCCGCAGGGAGCUCGGGGCGAACCUGGGCAAGGCAGGCAGAGGGUCUUAUUUAUAACAGCCCAGAGGGGACGGGGCUAAGCACUGUCCAGGGGGUGAAGGGAGAAACCAGCUGGCCCCUGUACUGCGGUGCCACGUACCACCCAGCCGAGGAGAGACUGGCUCUUGGCCUCCCCGGGGUGGAAGGGGCCAAGAGCCCACCCGGUCCUCGCCACCAGCUCAAGUGGCCACCUGAAGGGGUCAGAGGGCCAGAGAGGGGCGAGGGCAGGGCUGUCUCCUCCAUCCGGCUCCUCAUGGGAACUGCAGCACACACAAUUGUGGCCAGAGCUGGGCCCUCACAAGUGUGACACAGCGCGGUCCAGGGGGGAAGAGCUGGGAGACGCUGACCAGGGCCGGAGCACACUGCAGGACCCCAGGGCUCCUGAGGUCCCCAGCUUGCAGAUCGGCCGGGGACAGAGCACUCAGGGGUCCCACGCUGGGUGAGGGAAGGGGAAACGCCAUGUGUCUAGUCACCUCUGGACAGGCAGGAAGGGGACAAAUCAUAAAAUCCAACUGUGGGGAAAACUAAGAAGGGAAAAUCAGGGGCCGAGAGGGACUUCACAGGAAGGGACUCUGUGAGGGCAGUGGGCCUGCUGCCGCCCCAGAGGCCCGGGGUUCAGGCAGGAUUCAAGGACCAGGGUGGGGACCCAGGCAGCUUCAAAGGACUAAUCCCCAGUGUGCCCUGCCAAGGUCACUGUCCUUGGUGCUGCCCCUGCAGCUGCCUGCAACGUGGGGCCUCCCGGCCCCAAAUCCCAGUAUCAGGGGCCAGGGUCAGCCCUGCCCGCUCCUCCCCCGGGCCCCUGGCCGCCCAGCCCAGCCUGAGAGCAAGGCCACAGCUAAUCUGCUCCCCAGGCAGAUUCCUCUGUGCAGAGAUAAGCCCCCACCCAGCCAAGGUGGGUGGGAAGCCAGGGCCACUUCCUUAAUUGGCAUUUUCCAGUUGAGAGAGCAUUCUAUACCGUUUUCGCCCGCCAUUUAAUCACCAAGUGUUUUCGUUUUUGAGAAGACCUGAAAUUGCAGAGAUCUUUGGGAUUUAGUGGAGGAAUGCAAGGCCUAAUUUUGCCUAAUUACGAAAUGUCUCGGCGGCGACUCUGACACGUCCCAGAGUAGGCGAUGCAGACCCCUGGGCCUCCCGGGCGGUGGGGGGCCGGGGGCGCUGACGCAGAUGUUUACCUGAUGUCUUG
rnacentral:lncRNA from 1 species